AGUCCCUCCGGGAAUAUCCAAUAAAAUUGGUACGAUAUAGAGAAUAUUAACAUGACCCAUGCUUAAGAUGACAUACAUCAAUCGAGAAAUAUAUUAUUAUUAG